rnacentral:lncRNA from 1 species
CACCUGGACUGGGAAAACUUGGAACCCACUGGGACUGUUGACCAAAGCACAAACAUGUGGCCUCUUCAUGUGGCUUGGGCUUUCCACAGCAUGGAGGCUGAUUUCUGAGGAGAGGCCCAAAAAUAAUAUACACAAGGAGAGAAGCAGAUGGAAUUUUGAGAGAGAAAAGGAGGAGGUAAAAUGAAGACAGGCAGAGAUGGGAGUGGUGCAGCCAAGAGCCAAGCAACACCUGGCGCCACCAGCAGCUGGAAGAGGAAAAGAAGAGAUUUAUCUCCAGAGUCUUAGGAGGAAGCACAGCAGUGCUUUAAUUUUGGACUUCUGGCUUCCACAAUAAGAAGAGAAUAAAUCGAUGUUGCCUUAGUCCAUCCAGUUUAUGGUAAUUUGUUACAGCACUCUAGGAAACUAAUACAACAAACAAGGCCUGACUGAACAGAGUGGAAAGUUAGCAGAGAGGAAGGAGAGAUCUAGUAUAGUGUCUGGCAUGUAGCAGAGACACAUGCAUUUGUUGACUUAAUAAAAAUAAAGGGGAAGAGCCUGGAGGUGGAAAGAAAAAGAAGACAAAAGAAGGAAUGAUUAGAACAUAGUUUAUGAGGAUGAAUGAAGAGGAUGACAUUGAUGUGGAAGAGGAAAGAGAGUGUGAUUCUCCAG